rnacentral:lncRNA from 1 species
GUUAUAGAUGGUGGUGUAGAUGAGGCUGGGUCUAGUCAGGUUAUAGAUGGUGGUGUAGAUGAGGCUGGGUCUAGUCAGGUUAUAGAUGGUGGUGUAGAUGAGGCUGGGUCUAGUCAGGUUAUAGAUGGUGGUGUAGAUGAGGCUGGGUCUAGUCAGGCUAUAGAUGGUGGUGUAGAUGAGGCUGGGUCUAGUCAGGCUAUAGAUGGUGGUGGUGUAGAUGAGGCUGGGUCUAGUCAGGUUAUAGAUGGUGGUGGUGUAGAUGAGGCUGGGUCUAGUCAGGUUAUAGAUGGUGGUGUAGAUGAUGCUGGGUCUAGUCAGGUUAUAGAUGGUGGUGUAGAUGAGGCUGGGUCUAGUCAGGUUAUAGAUGGUGGUGGUGUAGAUGAGGCUGGGUCUAGUCAGGUUAUAGAUGGUGGUGGUGUAGAUGAGGCUGGGUCUAGUCAGGCUAUAGAUGGUGGUGUAGAUGAGGCUGGGUCUAGUCAGGUUAUAGAUGGUGGUGGUGUAGAUGAUGCUGGGUCUAGUCAGGUUAUAGAUGGUGGUGUAGAUGAGGCUGGGUCUAGUCAGGUUAUAGAUGGUGGUGUAGAUGAGGCUGGGUCUAGUCAGGUUAUAGAUGGUGGUGUAGAUGAGGCUGUGUCUAGUCAGGUUAUAGAUGGUGGUGUAGAUGAGACUGGGUCUAGUCAGGUUAUAGAUGGUGGUGUAGAUGAGGCUGGGUCUAGUCAGGUUAUAGAUAGUGGUGUAGAUGAGGCUGGGUCUAGUCAGGUUAUAGAUGGUGGUGGUGUAGAUGAUGCUGGGUCUAGUCAGGUUAUAGAUGGUGGUGUAGAUGAGGCUGGGUCUAGUCAGGUUAUAGAUGGUGGUGUAGAUGAGGCUGGGUCUAGUCA